CAAAUAUUUUCUGUUGAUAAUAUGGAUUUUGUUUUUUGUUUUACAGUUGUGUGGAUGGUACUAGGCAGUUGGUUCUGUGAUGACUGUAGCAUGAGGCAGAUGGUUUGAUCAGGUGAUUUCUUUGGUGGAUCGAAGAUGCGGGCGGUCGGCGGUCCGUGCUGCUCUUCAACUCGGUGAGCAACGUCCUUGGACUCCUGGUGUUCUGCGCGCGGUGGUACGGGCUGUCCCUCGGCUUGGCGGGUGAUGUCGUCCGGCUCCUCUCGGCGUUCUGUGGGGUGCGUUGCGACUUCAGUUUUGACAUUCUUGGAGGGCGUCUACCCAACAUGGCGAGGUGGGUGUGUGGUUUUCAGUUGGCGGCGGAAAUUCUGUGGUGUGAGGUGCGGACGUCCGGACCUCUGGAAUGGCGGUGCAUGGGCGUUUCUCCCGCGCGACAUCUUCCAUCUUUGAAAUCGCUGAUGUGGGCUCCAGGAUGCGGUGUGGUUCUUCCAUGAUUUAUUGAAUGGUAUAACAAUGCAAGUGCAGUGAAACGAGUGCGAACAUGUGAGGUUAUGUGAAAUGAUUACAAAUGAAUGAUGAUCAAAAGUUGAAACAGUGUAGAA